rnacentral:rRNA from 1 species
AGAGGUUGAUCCUGGCUCAGAACGAACGCUGGGGGCAGGCCUAAGACAUGCAAGUCGAACUAACUCUUCGGAGGAGCGGCGCACGGGUGCGUAACACGUGGGAAUGUACCCCAGGGUGCGGAACAACGUUUGGAAACGAACGCUAAUACCGCAUAAUGACUCCGGUCCAAAGAUUUAUCGCUCAAGGAUUAGCCCGCGUCUGAUUAGUUUGUUGGUGAGGUAAUGGCUCACCAAGACUACGAUCAGUAGGGGGUCUGAGAGGAUGAUCCCCCACACUGGUACUGAGACACGGACCAGACUCCUACGGGAGGCAGCAGUGAGGAAUAUUGGACAAUGGGGGAAACCCUGAUCCAGCCAUGCCGCGUGAGUGAAGACGGCCUUAGGGUUGUAAAGCUCUUUCAGAUGUGAAGAUAAUGACGGUAGCAUCAGAAGAAGCCCCGGCUAAAUUCGUGCCAGCAGCCGCGGUAAUACGAAUGGGGCAAGCGUUGUUCGGAAUAACUGGGCUUAAAGCGUCCGCAGGCGGAUUAACAAGUCAGAAGUGAAAUCCCAGAGCUCAACUCUGGAACUGCUUUUGAAACUGUAAAUCUAGAAUAUUGGAGAGGUUGGGAGAAUUCCUAGUGUAGAGGUGAAAUUCGCAGAUAUUAGGAGGAAUACCAGUGGCGUAGGCGCCCAACUGGACAAUUAUUGACGCUCAGGGACGAAGGCGUGGGGAGCAAACAGGAUUAGAUACCCUGUAGUCCACGCCGUAAACGAUGUAUGCUAGUUGUUGGAGUCUUAAGGCUUCAGUGACGCAGAGAAAUCAUUAAGCAUACCGCCUGGGGAGUACGGUCGCAAGAUUAAAACUCAAAGGAAUUGACGGGGACCCGCACAAGCGGUGGAGCAUGUUGUUUAAUUCGAAGCAACGCGAAGAACCUUACCCACACUUAACUAUCCUCUUGGGGCUUUCAGAGAUGAUCGCUUUCGGUUCGGCCGGGGAGUGAAUAGGUGCUGCAUGGCUGUCGUCAGCUCGUGUCGUGAGAUGUUAGGUUAAGUCCUGCAACGAGCGCAACCCUUAUCGUAUGUUGCCAUCAGGUUAUGCUGGGAACUCAUGCGAGACUGCCGGUGACAAGCCGGAGGAAGGCGGGGACGACGUCAAGUCAUCAUGGCCCUUACCGUGGGGGCACAAACGUGCUACAAUGGUAACGAACAAGGGCAGCCACUCCGCAAGGAGGCGCUAAUCUCCAAACGUUAUCUCAGUUCGGAUUGUUCUCUGCAACUCGAGAGCAUGAAGUUGGAAUCGCUAGUAAUCGUGCAUCAGCAUGUCACGGUGAAUACGUUCCCGGGUCUUGUACACACCGCCCGUCACGUCAUGGGAGUUGGUUCUACCCGACGGCCGUACGCUAACCUUUUGGAGGCAGCGGACCACGGUAGGAUUAGCGACUGGGACUAAGUCGUAACAAGGUAACC